rnacentral:rRNA from 1 species
UACGGAGGGGGCAAGCGUUACUCGGAAUUAUUGGGCGUAAAGGGCGCGUAGGCGGUCUUGCGCGUCGGAGGUGAAAUCCCCGAGCUUAACUCGGGGCCGGCCUCCGAAACGGCGAGACUUGAGUCCGGGAGAGGGGAGCAGAAUUCCCAGUGUAGCGGUGAAAUGCGUAGAUACUGGGAGGAAUACCAGUGGCGAAGGCGGCUCCCUGGACCGGUACUGACGCUGAGGCGCGAAAGCGUGGGUAGCAAACAGG